CUUAUAUCCUGGAUUCUUACUCAAAUUUGCAUUGUGAUAUAUGACUUCAGAGGAUGGAGUGGGGAAUGAAAGUCUUUCCUGGAAAUGGAGGACUAGUGGUGUUGUUUCUGGAUAUUUACAACAUUGGUACCCUGAAGUAAGUCUGAGAUGUGCCGGCAGGUUAGAAAAGGAAAAUAGAUGAAGGAAAACUAGAGUCCUGUUGAGACUGAAGUGCCAUCUGUGUAUCUCCCCAGCUUCUGUCAUCAUAGCACCUGGGCAUGACAGGAAAUAAGCAUGUGCAACUCCACAGAGCAGCUUUGAAGCUCAGAGCCCUGCUGACCUCAGAGACCUGAGAACUUGAAGUGGUUUCAUGGAUUUCCCUUUCCCGUCUUUGGCUCAGCUUCUCCUAUAACUCAUUAACAAAUAGUAAUCAAAUAAUCGUUUUCACCUUGGUGCUUUUAAUAAAAAUGAUCCUCGUCACUUUAUAGCCUCCAAUAAAAGACA